GAAACAUCUUCGGGUUGUGAGGUUAAGCGACUAAGCGUACACGGUGGAUGCCCUGGCAGUCAGAGGCGAUGAAGGACGUGCUAAUCUGCGAUAAGCGUCGGUAAGGUGAUAUGAACCGUUAUAACCGGCGAUUUCCGAAUGGGGAAACCCAGUGUGAUUCGUCACACUAUCAUUAACUGAAUCCAUAGGUUAAUGAGGCGAACCGGGGGAACUGAAACAUCUAAGUACCCCGAGGAAAAGAAAUCAACCGAGAUUCCCCCAGUAGCGGCGAGCGAACGGGGAGCAGCCCAGAGCCUGAAUCAGUGUGUGUGUUAGUGGAAGCGUCUGGAAAGGCGCGCGAUACAGGGUGACAGCCCCGUACACAAAAAUGCACAUACUGUGAGCUCGAUGAGUAGGGCGGGACACGUGGUAUCCUGUCUGAAUAUGGGGGGACCAUCCUCCAAGGCUAAAUACUCCUGACUGACCGAUAGUGAACCAGUACCGUGAGGGAAAGGCGAAAAGAACCCCGGCGAGGGGAGUGAAAAAGAACCUGAAACCGUGUACGUACAAGCAGUGGGAGCACGCUUAGGCGUGUGACUGCGUACCUUUUGUAUAAUGGGUCAGCGACUUAUAUUCUGUAGCAAGGUUAACCGAAUAGGGGAGCCGAAGGGAAACCGAGUCUUAACUGGGCGUUAAGUUGCAGGGUAUAGACCCGAAACCCGGUGAUCUAGCCAUGGGCAGGUUGAAGGUUGGGUAACACUAACUGGAGGACCGAACCGACUAAUGUUGAAAAAUUAGCGGAUGACUUGUGGCUGGGGGUGAAAGGCCAAUCAAACCGGGAGAUAGCUGGUUCUCCCCGAAAGCUAUUUAGGUAGCGCCUCGUGAAUUCAUCUCCGGGGGUAGAGCACUGUUUCGGCAAGGGGGUCAUCCCGACUUACCAACCCGAUGCAAACUGCGAAUACCGGAGAAUGUUAUCACGGGAGACACACGGCGGGUGCUAACGUCCGUCGUGAAGAGGGAAACAACCCAGACCGCCAGCUAAGGUCCCAAAGUCAUGGUUAAGUGGGAAACGAUGUGGGAAGGCCCAGACAGCCAGGAUGUUGGCUUAGAAGCAGCCAUCAUUUAAAGAAAGCGUAAUAGCUCACUGGUCGAGUCGGCCUGCGCGGAAGAUGUAACGGGGCUAAACCAUGCACCGAAGCUGCGGCAGCGACGCUGAUGCGUUGUUGGGUAGGGGAGCGUUCUGUAAGCCUGUGAAGGUGUGCUGUGAGGCAUGCUGGAGGUAUCAGAAGUGCGAAUGCUGACAUAAGUAACGAUAAAGCGGGUGAAAAGCCCGCUCGCCGGAAGACCAAGGGUUCCUGUCCAACGUUAAUCGGGGCAGGGUGAGUCGACCCCUAAGGCGAGGCCGAAAGGCGUAGUCGAUGGGAAACAGGUUAAUAUUCCUGUACUUGGUGUUACUGCGAAGGGGGGACGGAGAAGGCUAUGUUGGCCGGGCGACGGUUGUCCCGGUUUAAGCGUGUAGGCUGGUUUUCCAGGCAAAUCCGGAAAAUCAAGGCUGAGGCGUGAUGACGAGGCACUACGGUGCUGAAGCAACAAAUGCCCUGCUUCCAGGAAAAGCCUCUAAGCAUCAGGUAACAUCAAAUCGUACCCCAAACCGACACAGGUGGUCAGGUAGAGAAUACCAAGGCGCUUGAGAGAACUCGGGUGAAGGAACUAGGCAAAAUGGUGCCGUAACUUCGGGAGAAGGCACGCUGAUAUGUAGGUGAAGCGACUUGCUCGUGGAGCUGAAAUCAGUCGAAGAUACCAGCUGGCUGCAACUGUUUAUUAAAAACACAGCACUGUGCAAACACGAAAGUGGACGUAUACGGUGUGACGCCUGCCCGGUGCCGGAAGGUUAAUUGAUGGGGUCAGCGCAAGCGAAGCUCUUGAUCGAAGCCCCGGUAAACGGCGGCCGUAACUAUAACGGUCCUAAGGUAGCGAAAUUCCUUGUCGGGUAAGUUCCGACCUGCACGAAUGGCGUAAUGAUGGCCAGGCUGUCUCCACCCGAGACUCAGUGAAAUUGAACUCGCUGUGAAGAUGCAGUGUACCCGCGGCAAGACGGAAAGACCCCGUGAACCUUUACUAUAGCUUGACACUGAACAUUGAGCCUUGAUGUGUAGGAUAGGUGGGAGGCUUUGAAGUGUGGACGCCAGUCUGCAUGGAGCCGGCCUUGAAAUACCACCCUUUAAUGUUUGAUGUUCUAACGUUGACCCGUGAUCCGGGUUGCGGACAGUGUCUGGUGGGUAGUUUGACUGGGGCGGUCUCCUCCUAAAGAGUAACGGAGGAGCACGAAGGUUGGCUAAUCCUGGUCGGACAUCAGGAGGUUAGUGCAAUGGCAUAAGCCAGCUUGACUGCGAGCGUGACGGCGCGAGCAGGUGCGAAAGCAGGUCAUAGUGAUCCGGUGGUUCUGAAUGGAAGGGCCAUCGCUCAACGGAUAAAAGGUACUCCGGGGAUAACAGGCUGAUACCGCCCAAGAGUUCAUAUCGACGGCGGUGUUUGGCACCUCGAUGUCGGCUCAUCACAUCCUGGGGCUGAAGUAGGUCCCAAGGGUAUGGCUGUUCGCCAUUUAAAGUGGUACGCGAGCUGGGUUUAGAACGUCGUGAGACAGUUCGGUCCCUAUCUGCCGUGGGCGCUGGAGAACUGAGGGGGGCUGCUCCUAGUACGAGAGGACCGGAGUGGACGCAUCACUGGUGUUCGGGUUGUCAUGCCAAUGGCACUGCCCGGUAGCUAAAUGCGGAAGAGAUAAGUGCUGAAAGCAUCUAAGCACGAAACUUGCCCCGAGAUGAGUUCUCCCUGACUCCUUGAGAGUCCUGAAGGAACGUUGAAGACGACGACGUUGAUAGGCCGGGUGUGUAAGCGCAGCGAUGCGUUGAGCUAACCGGUACUAAUGAACCGUGAGGCUUAACCUU
rnacentral:rRNA from 1 species